UACGUAGGGGGCGAGCGUUGUCCGGAGUUACUGGGCGUAAAGCGCACGCAGGCGGUCUGCUAAGUUUGGAGUGACAGUUGGUGGCUUAACUGCCAAAGUGCUUCGAAAACUGACAGACUUGAGGGCUUCAGAGGGACACGGAAUUCCGGGUGGAGUGGUGAAAUGCGUAGAGAUCCGGAGGAACACCAAAGGCGAAGGCGGGUCUCUGGGCAGUAACUGACGCUGAGGAGCGAAAGCGUGGGGAGCGAACAGG
rnacentral:rRNA from 1 species